rnacentral:rRNA from 1 species
AACAGGAUUAGAUACCCUGGUAGUCCACGCCGUAAACGAUGUCGACUUGGAGGUUGUGCCCUUGAGGCGUGGCUUCCGGAGCUAACGCGUUAAGUCGACCGCCUGGGGAGUACGGCCGCAAGGUUAAAACUCAAAUGAAUUGACGGGGGCCCGCACAAGCGGUGGAGCAUGUGGUUUAAUUCGAUGCAACGCGAAGAACCUUACCUACCCUUGACAUCCAGAGAACUUAGCAGAGAUGCUUUGGUGCCUUCGGGAACUCUGAGACAGGUGCUGCAUGGCUGUCGUCAGCUCGUGCUGUGAAAUGUUGGGUUAAGUCCCGCAACGAGCGCAACCCUUAUCCUUUGUUGCCAGCGGUUAGGCCGGGAACUCAAAGGAGACUGCCAGUGAUAAACUGGAGGAAGGUGGGGAUGACGUCAAGUCAUCAUGGCCCUUACGAGUAGGGCUACACACGUGCUACAAUGGCAUAUACAAAGAGAAGCGACCUCGCGAGAGCAAGCGGACCUCAUAAAGUAUGUCGUAGUCCGGAUUGGAGUCUGCAACUCGGCUCCAUGAAGUCGGAAUCGCUAGUAAUCGUGGAUCAGAAUGCCACGGUGAAUACGUUCCCGGGCCUUGUACACACCGCCCGUCACACCAUGGGAGUGGGUUGCAAAAGAAGUAGGUAGCUUAACCUUCGGGAGGGCGCUUACCACUUUGUGAUUCAUGACUGGGGUGAAGUCGUAACAAGGUAACC